AACGAACGCUGGCGGCAGGCUUAACACAUGCAAGUCGAGCGCCCCGCAAGGGGAGCGGCAGACGGGUGAGUAACGCGUGGGAAUCUACCCAUCUCUACGGAAUAACGCAUGGAAACGUGUGCUAAUACCGUAUACGUCCUUCGGGAGAAAGAUUUAUCGGAGAUGGAUGAGCCCGCGUUGGAUUAGCUAGUUGGGGGGGUAGAGGCCUACCAAGGCGACGAUCCAUAGCUGGUCUGAGAGGAUGAUCAGCCACACUGGGACUGAGACACAGCCCAGACUCCUACGGGAGGCGGCAGUGGGGAAUAUUGGACAAUGGGCGCAAGCUUGAUCCAGCCAUGCCGCGUGAGUGAUGAAGGCCCUAGGGUUGUAAAGCUCUUUCACCGGUGAAGAUAAUGACGGUAACCGGAGAAGAAGCCCCGGCUAACUUCGUGCCAGCCGCCGCGGUAACAC
rnacentral:rRNA from 1 species